UUGCGGCGGGCCAGCUCGCGCCGCUCGCGGAGCCCCACGUACCAGCCCACGCUGAAGCCGGACACCACGGCGCCCACCACGAAGGCCGCCACCGACGACGUCACCAGCAGUACCUGGUGCCGGGGCUGAGGAAGAUGCAGGAGCCAUCCGGGGCCCAGCCGCAGUAGGGGUCCUGACUGCCAAUACAGUUCCUGGAGCAGACAAGGGAGCCGGAGAGCAGAUCAACCACAGCCCCUUCUGAGGCACCUCUUACUGUCAACUCUGGGAGUUCUCAAGUUGGCCCAGGAGUACUCACUUCAUGCAUCCUGAGUAUUGCUGGCAGCGUGCCACGGGCACUCGGACCACACAGCGGGGGAAGGCCGCCAGCAGGCCACCCGAGGCCGCAUCCAGCUCCAGGCUCAGCAGCCGCUGCCCUGUCUCGCCACCCCCAGAGCGUCCACACCUGGGGGUGAGCAGAUUGGAAGACACUGGGCCCGGUGGUGCCCGAGGCACUGGCAUUGGGCCAGACAAGAAACUUGAGGACAGUGCCCGCCUCAGAACCCAGGAAGACGACAGUCUGGUUGCCCCAGGGGCCGGCGCCCACGUCCACGGCCACUCGCGUCAGCUGCUCUACAGAGGAGGGCCUACUGAUAUCCCCGGGGUACAGAGGGGAAACUGAGGCACAGCGAAAGGAAAGUGACCGAGGCCCAAGGUCACACUAGUAACAACGUCUACUGUUUUGUCACCUUCCUCCUUCACGUGUUGAGCUGAGCUCCUACCAUACCGCUCAUGCUGUCCCACUUCAGAGUGGGCCGGUCCCCGAGGCUGCGGUAGAUGACGGCAUCGAUGGCUAGGAAGUCGGUAACGGUGGCUGUGAAGAGCAUCCCUUCUGGAUGGGGGUGAGUCAGGGGGAGGCAGGUGAGAGAUUAGAUCAUAGAGGCCGGAGGCUGGGUGGGUCAAAACUUGACUUCAAGACUGAGCCCUGAGCCUAAGUGAGCCCUAAGCCCCGGGCUGAGCCCCAACUCCUCAGCUCAUCCCCAACCUCGGCUGAGCCCUGCCCUUGAGAUUCUGCCUGUUUCAUAGCUGGAGAGAUGGUCUCCCAGCCAUCUUCUAAAUGACCUGACUCCACGAGUGGAAAAUGCCAUGUCUUGCUGUGGACUGGGGCCCCAUCAGAUGGUCAGAGUUGGGGGCACUCACC